GUCGCUCUCGCGGGAGAGAUCGGCCCAUCGCUACGGGCCGGAGCCGAAGGCGCAACCGCCCCGGAAACGCUCAGGCAAAAGGACCGCGAGGACGUU
rnacentral:ncRNA from 2 species